GUUUCGACCCCUUUUGGUUGCACUUGGUCAACCCACCUGGACAAGUAUGAUGUCAUCCUAUUCUUCAAAAUAGCUGGUGAAAAGUCAGUUGUAAGGGAGCUGGAUCUCAUUUAAAUACUCAAUGUCUUAGAAGCAGAAUAAACAAAUAUUCCAGGAGAGCUCACCUGGCAAAUGUGACAGCUUCUCCAGACUUAGGAGCUGUUCUUUGAAGUACCCAAAAGAUAAGAUCCUGUGGGGACAGGACUUUCUGAACGUAGAGAGAUUCAUUUACACCACCGCAAAAUAAAAUCAACCUGCCACUGAUCGAAGUUUCGAUUCCUGUUUUCCAGAGCGUUUCACAGGAGGAUUUCCCCACUCUGUUAAAAAGCACCUCUGGGGAAAUCUGUGAGACCUGCAAG